rnacentral:lncRNA from 1 species
CUCCCAGAUACUUUAGGAUGUAUUUUGUACAAACAGGAAUAUUCUCUGAUCCUUUCGUAGUUCAUAAGCAUGAUGAUCGGGUGUUCACAUGCUCAUAUGUGACAUGUGCCACCCUCGAAUCUUGGUACAAUGUUGGGACAUUACCCAUCUGACAUGAAAAAACUAUUAAAAAAAAAAAAAGAACAUUCUCCUAUAUAACCACAGUACAAACAUCAAAAUCAGGGAACUAACCUUGAUUCAGUACUACCACCUAAUCCUCAGACCCCUUCCUUUGUAGGAGAAGAAUCCAGGACAGGAUUAUGUGGAGCAUUUGGCUGCCAUGUCUCUCUAGUCUCCUUUCUGGAACAGUUCUCAGUCUUUCAGUGGCUUUCAUGACCUCGACACUUCAAAAGAUUACAGUUCAGUUAUUUUGUAGAAUGUCCUUCCAUUGGUUUUGUCUGCUGUUUCCUCAUGAUUAGAUUAAGGUUAUUCAUUUCUGGAAGAGGUUGUAUCCUAUGAUUUCCAUUUGUCCUAUUACUGAUGAUGUUCACUUAAUUAAAGUGAUGUAUAGCAGGCUUAAUAAGUAUUUUGUGGGAUAGUAUUUGGAAACUAG